GGUAGCUCAGCAGUAGAGUGCUUGCCUUGCAAGCAUGAGGCCUUGGGUUCGAUUCCUCAGCACCA
rnacentral:tRNA from 1 species